AGGACGAACGCUUGCGGCGUGCCUAAGAAAUGCAAGUCGAACGGGGUGCAGCAAUGCAUCUAGUGGCGAACGGUCGCGUAACACGUAAGCAACCUGCCCUAAGGUGGGGGACAACAGUCCGAAAGGAUUGCUAAUACCGCAUGUGGUUCUUUGGUCGCAUGACUGAAGAUCUAAAGCCUAGUGCGCCUUAGGAUGGGCUUGCGGCCUAUCAGGUAGUUGGUGGGGUAAUGGCCUACCAAGCCGACGACGGGUAGCUGGUCUGAGAGGACGAUCAGCCGGAUUGGGACUGAGAUACGGCCCAGACUCCUACGGGGGGCAGCAAUUAGGAAUCUUGCACAAUGGGGGAAACCCUGAUGCAGCGACGUCGCGUGAAGGAUGAAGGAUUUCGGUCUGUAAACUUCUUAGUGGGGACGAAGAUGUGACGGUACCCAGAAUAAGCCCGGCUAACUACGCGCCAGCAGCCGC
rnacentral:rRNA from 1 species